rnacentral:lncRNA from 1 species
CGGCAAGUGUUGUAAUGAUGUAUCAAUGUCUUUUUGAAAUCACCGUGCUAUUUACAUGUGGGAUCGAGAAUGCAGGGGAAGGAAACUUGUCAAUUAUGUUUAUUUCUAAGCCAAAAUAAAAUGAGCCGCCGUAAAAUUAACCUUGGGUAAUAACAGUGCAUGUAAGGCUCGUCUCGGAGGGGUGUCUUUUUUUUCUGUCUUCUUUUUAUGCCCCACCUACGAUAGUAGAGGGGCAUUAUGUUUUCUGGUCUGUGCCUCCGUUCGUUCGUCCGUUCGUUCGUCCUGUUUCAGGUUAAAG